AGGGUUUAGAGGAGGCAUCGGAAUCUUUGAACUGCUAUUGCUAUUGGCUGCACAGAGAACGCUAAAACUACGCCGUUUUAGCGGAGACGAUGAUGAUGAAGUACAUGGAACUGAGGACGCCAUGGGCAACCGUAAGUGGGUGGCCUAGCAAAAUACACACAGACAAAACAAAACCAAUCAGAAAAUAAGACAGGCUCAACAACAAAGUCUUUACGAAACCUGAUUAAUUAUAUUACAGAUAAUUAACGACAAUAAAAUAGAAGAGAAGAAAAUUAUUUACCUGAGCAGGAGUAGCCAUGAGCUUAGGGGAGUCGUAAAUGUCCAAAAAAGGCGGCAUGUCCGAGUUUUGAGGCCGAGUAUAGACAGCUUCUGGAUUAUUUGCAGCAACAGAGGCAAGCUUAUUUAGAAAUGGGUCCUUAGGGUUUAGAGGAGGCAUCGGAAUCUUUGUACUACUAUUGCUAUUGGCUGCACAGAGAAUGCUAAAACUACGACGUUUUAGCGGAGACGAUGAUGAUGAAGCACAUGGAACUGAGGAUGCCAUGGGCAACCGUAAGUAGGUGGCCAUUAUUUUUCUUUUUUCGAAUUUUGAUGCUGUUUAUCUCUUCCAAGGAGAAGACAUUUGAGCUAUGGAAGAUGUACUGAUGAGGAUGUGAAAUUUGGAUAGUGUGACUCGAACAAGUCGGGUCAUAAGAGCCC
rnacentral:lncRNA from 1 species